CCAAUCUUAUUAUUCUCCUCCCUCAGUGGUCACGGUUCAGGUCAUAGAGCGAACGUUUCCCUUGCCGUAAGAAGCCGUUACUUGUUACCGUGCGCACUUCACUCUCUCUCUCUCUCUUCUCCGUAGAGAGAACAGAACACCAUCGGGGAACGCAGUGCCACAACCCCAGCAAAUAUUUCUCCGAUUUCAAUUAUUUUGAUUGAGGCUCGAGGGUUAUUAAUCUGGUGAUGAUGGGGAAGUGAGAAGCUACGGCAUAAAGGGAUUGUUGUGUGGGAAACCUAGGUUUGCAAAAUGGAGGGAGAAGAUAUUAGGUCUGGGAUGAAGAAGAAGCGAUCCAAGAAGGAAAUUGGUUUUGACUCUGGUGAUGACGAGCCCAUUGGGUCAAUCUUUAAGGUUAAAAGGUCCAGGAAGAAGGCUAGUUGUAGUAGUGAUGCUGUUAGGGGAAAGGAGGAUUUGGAGGGUAUGGAUGAUAAUGAUACCUUGGCUAGCUUUAGAAAGAGGUUGAAGGGUCCUAAGAGAGAUCAGGGAUCUGGGGCCACAAGAGGAGCAAGUCCUGCUGCUUUGCCUGUGUCUGAUGAAGAUUUGGUUGCUUUGGGACCUAACGGUAAGGAUGAGAAAAGGGUGGUGUCUGGUGAUGUUGACAUGCAGAUGCGGGAUUCAUCUGAUCAGCACAUGGAGGGUUCCUUGUCUGCAAUUUUCCACAAGGCACAGUCUAGUUCGGCUAGGAAAUCUCGUGGGGGUUUGAAGCAGAAAAAGGUGAUUCAGAAUGUGGAUAGUGGGAUGAGCCCUGGUUGUGAUGGUUUUGUAGAGGCUGUGGAUUCUGUGGUUGAAAGUAGAUCCGGAUCUGCUUCUGGCUUAAAAUUGGUUGAGGGGAAUGUUGUGUCUGCUGAUGCUUUGCCUCAAGCAUCUGAACCGGCUUUCACAUCUGUGGUGGAUGAUCAGAAGUGCGGUGAUGGCGUUUUCCAAGAGGAAACUGUGAAGGGAGAUUGCGAAUCAGAUGUUCCAGAUGUCUGUCAUGGAGAUAGGCAGCAAUUGUCUUGUGUACAGGUUGAGGAUAUUUGUUGUGCUUCUGACCAGAAGGUUGCAUUGCAGGAAAGUGUUCUUGGUGAAAGUUUAGAUAAGUUAUCUUCCAUGUCACAUGAUGAAACAGUUGAUACUGCCUCUCUCUCAAAAAUGGGAGAAGAGGUAAAAGGCUUUACUGAGGUCAGAGAGUCUGAGAAUAUAUUGACUGAUGAACUAGCACAAGUGUGUAACAUUGCUUCAGAACGUGAUGAUUCUACUUUUGUGGUGCAUGAAAAUGUCUCAACUUCUGCUCAUACCGAACCCUUUAUAUCAACUGAAAAUAUAUUGAAUGAGAGUAAUAAUAUGUUUUCUGGAAAAGAUUUCCGGGAGUUCUCAAGUAAUGGCACUCUAAAAUUAUCUGGAUCCCAUUUGGAAGUAGAUGGAGGUGGAAAAUCAGAAUCGGAGUUUGUUAAUAGAAAUUUAUGUGAUUUUAGUAGUUUAGAUUCAAAGGCUGAAGUGCAAGAUUUUGUUUUGGGUUUUUCACCUAAAAGAAAUGAUGCAACUUUUGGUGGUAGUUUAUCUUCCAUGGUGUCUAAUGAAGCCAAUGAAGCUGAAUUGGCUGCCCUCUCAAAUCACCCAGAGAAACCUCUAGAAGCUUUCAAUAUUCCAAAAGAUUCUACUGCUUCAAUUCAGAAAUGUAGCUCAGUGUUAGAUCCAAUUCAAUCUGAUGGAUCUUCUCUUCAAUCUUCAAUUCCUGAUGAAAAUGGGAACUCUGCAGAAUACCAUCCCUCUGUGCCUGAUUUUGCUGAUAAUGAUUGUAAGUUAUCGAGCAUUCCGCGUGUUAUGCGAAAGGCAAAGAUGCGUAAGCAUGGAGACAUGACAUAUGAGGGGGAUGCUGAUUGGGAGAUUUUAAUUAAUGAUCACGCUCUAAAUGAAAGUCAAGUUAUGGUAGAUGGUGACCGCACUCUUAGAACAAGAAUGAAGCAUGAAUCCUCUUUGAAUACAGGUGAAGACUUUGAAAAUGUUGCAGUAGUAGCAGUAUCAGCUGGGCUGAAAGCCCGUAAAGCUGGUCCAAUUGAGAAAAUAAAGUUUAAGGAGAUCUUGAAGCGCAAAGGUGGUCUCAAGGAAUAUUUGGAUUGCAGAAAUCAGAUUUUAAGUCUUUGGAGCAGAGAUGUCACACGUAUUUUGCCUCUUGCUGAAUGUGGAGUUAGUGAUACUCAUUCGGAGGAUGGAAGUCCUCGGUCUUCUCUUAUUAAGGAGGUCUAUGCAUUUCUUGAUCAAUAUGGUUAUAUAAAUGUUGGAAUUGCUUCCCAGAAGGAGAAUGUUGGAAUUAGUGCAAAGCAUUGUUAUAAACUGGUAAAAGAAAAAGGUUUUGAGGAAAGUUCUGCAGCUUCAGUGGCAGACUCUGAAGAUGGAGUUUCUUUUAUUGUUGGUCAGACUAAAAUGUCACAUACUUCCAAUGAGAUUAACAAUGGUCUUACAAAGAAUUUUGAGGACCUAACAACUGAAGCUACAGAAGGUAUGAGGUAUGUUAAUGAAGCGAAGAUGGAUUUAUCAGACAUGACACAGCAGGCUGAAAGAAAAAAAAUUGAUUACCAGGAAAAUGAUGGGAUUCAGGAUGGUAUUGUAAAUGUCACUGUUGACAGUUCCAUUCCUUCUUCCAUGUUUCCUGAUUGCAGAUUGACUUCUCUGGUAGCUACAGAGAAAAACAAUGACUCCACCACCUGUAUUAAAUCUUCCUUAGGGGGUCAGGCAGGUGAACAUCUGCAGUCUGAUUUAGAUCCUAGAAAGAGAGUAAUUGUCAUUGGAGCUGGUCCUGCUGGGCUAACUGCUGCUCGCCAUUUGCAACGUCAGGGAUUUCCUGUAACUGUGCUUGAGGCUAGGAAUAGGAUAGGAGGUCGUGUAUUUACUGAUCACUCAUCACUUUCUGUCCCUGUAGAUCUCGGUGCUAGCAUUAUAACUGGUGUUGAGGCUGAUGUGGCCACUGAAAGAAGACCAGAUCCUUCCUCACUGAUUUGUGCUCAGUUGGGCCUUGAGUUGUCAGUGUUGAACAGUGAUUGUCCUCUUUAUGACAUUGUGACAGGACAAAAGGUUCCUGCAGAUAUGGAUGAAGCACUGGAAGCUGAAUAUAAUAGUCUUAUUGAUGACAUGGUAUUGGUUGUUGCUCAGAAAGGUGAACAAGCAAUGAGAAUGUCUCUUGAAGAUGGUUUAGAAUAUGCUCUUAAGAUUCGUCGUAUGGCACGCUCUGAAAGUAGUGAAGAAACUGGACAAAAUAAUACUGCAGAUACUCCAUUUGAUUCCAAAAAGGACAGUACUGGGGAAAAAAAACUUGACGAGGAGAUUUUGAGCCCUCAGGAGAGGAGAGUUAUGGAUUGGCACUUUGCUCAUUUGGAGUAUGGUUGUGCUGCUUCGCUUGAGGACGUUUCUCUUCCCUACUGGAACCAAGAUGAUGUGUAUGGAGGUUUUGGGGGAGCUCAUUGUAUGAUUAAAGGGGGCUACAGCUCUGUUGUUGAGUCUCUGGGAGAAGGACUUACAAUUCACUUGAACCAUGUUGUAACAAAUGUGUCAUAUGGUAUCAAGGAACCAGGUCAGAGUAAUAAAGUUAAAGUUUCUACCUCAAAUGGCAAUGAGUUCUUUGGAGAUGCUGUCCUUGUUACUGUUCCACUUGGCUGUUUGAAGGCUGAAACUGUACAAUUCUCCCCACCUUUGCCACAGUGGAAAUGUUCUUCUGUUCAGCGUCUUGGUUAUGGAGUUCUAAAUAAAGUGGUUUUGGAAUUUCCUAGUGUAUUUUGGGAUGAUGCUAUGGACUACUUCGGAACAACAGCUGAGGAGAGAAGCAGUAGAGGUCACUGCUUUAUGUUCUGGAAUAUCAGGAAAACAGUUGGGGCUCCGGUCCUUAUAGCAUUAGUGGUUGGUAAGACAGCCAUAGACAGUCAAAACUUGAGUUCUUCUGAUCAUGUUAACCAUGCAUUGAAGGUUCUCCGUAAACUUUUUGGGGAGGAUUCAGUUCCUGAUCCUGUUGGCUAUGUUGUGACUGAUUGGGGUAGGGAUCCUUUUAGCUAUGGUGCUUAUUCAUACGUUGCUGUUGGAGCAUCAGGAGAAGACUAUGAUAUAUUAGGGAGACCAGUUGAUAACUGCUUGUUUUUUGCUGGUGAAGCAACCUGUAAAGAGCACCCAGACACUGUUGGUGGUGCAAUGAUGAGCGGACUACGAGAGGCUGUUCGCAUAAUUGACAUAUUGAGCACCGGAAAUGAUUAUAUUGCAGAGGUGGAGACAUUGGAAGCUGCACAGGGGCAGUUAGACACUGAAAGGGAUGAAGUUAGGGAUAUAAUAAAGAGACUUGAUGCAGUAGAGCUUUCUAACAUAAUGUAUAAGAACUCCUUAGAUGGUGCUCAAAUUUUAACCCGGGAAGCUUUGUUAAGGGAAAUGUUCUUUAAUACAAAAACCACUGCUGGGCGCUUGCAUGUGGCCAAACAAUUGCUAAGUCUUCCCGUUGGAAACUUAAAGUCUUUUGCUGGAAGUAAAGAGGGGCUAGCCAUUCUCAAUUCAUGGAUACUGGAUUCAAUGGGGAAGGAUGGUACCCAACUCUUGAGGCACUGUUUACGUCUUCUUGUUCGUGUUUCGACUGAUCUUCUUGCUGUACGAUUAUCAGGAAUGGGGAAAACGGUGAAGGAAAAAGUUUGUGUACACACUAGCCGGGAUAUUCGUGCUAUAGCAAGCCAGUUGGUGAAUGUAUGGCUUGAAGUUUUCCGGAAGGAAAAAGCUUCUAAUGGUGGAUUGAAGUUAUCAAGACAAACAGCUGCUGUGGAUUUAUCAAAGAGAAAAUCAGUAAAAGAUUCAGCCUCUGGAAAGCCACCUCUGAGCUCAUACCAUGGUACCAUUGAGAAUAAAGGUGGCUUGCUGAAUCCUGCAUCUGCUGGAAGCAAUUCACCUUCCACUGCACAUGUGAAGAAAUUGCAUAGUAAACAAGGAAGACACCAAACAGCUUAUGACUCAAGGCAUGAAGUCAGUUCUUCCAGGCCUAAAGGUUCAAUAGACAAAGUAAUUGCUGAGAAGGAGGAAAACCACUAUGCUAUAUCUGAAGAAGAACAGGCUGCUAUAGCUGCCGCAGAAGCUGCCCGUGCUAAAGCUCUUGCUGCUGCUGAGGCAUAUGCCUCUGCAGAGGCCAGAUGCAAUACACUGUUACAGCUUCCAAAGAUACCCUCAUUCCACAAAUUUGCUAGACGUGAGCAGAAUCCACAAAAUGAUGAGUGUGAUAGUAAAAAAAGAUGGUCUGGUGGUGUUUUUGGAAGGCAAGAUUGUAUUUCAGAGAUUGAUUCCAGGAAUUGCAGAGUUAGGGACUGGUCUGUUGAUUUCUCUGCUGCUUGUGUCAACCUUGAUAAUUCCAGAAUGCCAGUUGAUAACCUUUCACAGAGGAGUCACUCAAAUGAGAUUGCCAGCCAUUUGAAUUUCAGAGAGCACUCAGGAGAAAGUGCUGCUGGUGACAGCAGUAUAUACACAAAGGCUUGGAUUGAUACAGCUGGUGGUGUUGCAAUUAAAGACCAUCAUGCCAUAGAGAGAUGGCAAUCUCAAGCAGCUGCAGCCGAUUCUUAUUUUUCUAACCCAACUAUUCAUUUGAAGGACGAGGAGGAUUCAAAUGCCUGUUCAAAGCUGCCUAGCUGGAAGCGUGAUGGUAUUGCAAAUGAGAGCUCUAUUUCACAGGUUACUGUAAAUAAGGAGUCCCUAAAAAGUCAUCCCCGAGGAGCUGAUCAUAUUAAACAAGCUGUUGUGGACUAUGUUGCAUCACUGCUGAUGCCCCUUUAUAAGGCGAGGAAACUAGACAAGGAUGGAUACAAAGCUAUAAUGAAGAAAAGUGCAACUAAGUUUCAGGUCAUGGAGCAAGCCACAGAUGCAGAAAAAGCCAUGACUGUUUGCGAGUUUCUAGAUUUUAAGCGAAAGAACAAGAUUCGCUCCUUUGUGGAUAUAUUGAUCGAGAGACACAUGACAUCGAAACCAGAUAUGAAAUCUUAAUGUUUGGGGAUGGAAUAGUCUGUACUUUGUUGUACCUCUUUGUAACAGUUGCCAAACUCUGGUUCUUCUUCCUACUUCAGUUCUCACAGUUUUGGUGAGCAUGGGCAUGUUCUCAUAUGAGCACCUCAAUCUGCCUAUGUAAAUGAUCUAGAAGGUACAAUUAAAAACACAAACAAAACUUGAUUGAUUCAAAUCAAGUGGGUUUUAUGGAAAUUCCUUGUCGGCUUGUCCUGGAACAGCAUACUGAAUACUGAUGGUAGAUGGCCAGUAAACCGGCUUCACCACCUCUAAACAGACUCUCAUUGCAACUAUCUGUUCGAGAUUCAGUGUGAUGGGCAUUGGCAGGUUUGAAGAUGACAGCAGGCUGAGAAAGAUUAUAUCAAUCACUAAUGGGAGGAACUAGGUAUUCUGUCUUUUCCCUGUGUUUUGAUGUUUAUUGCAACUCUUACCUUCUUCAAAGCCAAUUUUCAGACGGUCAUCAUGCCAGCAGUAUGCCAUGGAAAUUAAAUUUCGCUGGAUAAUAUGCUUAAAUGGUAUCAGGCUAUAUUAUCUCAAGAGUUGCCUAAUGUCGAAAUAUUACGUUGUUGGUAUUGAUCUUUGUGAAAAUAUUACGUUCUUAGUAUUGUAUCACAAGCAUGUUGCAAUUUAUUUGGUUUUAGGUGGGUUGCUAACUCUAACUUCUAUGUUGAGAUCAAACUAUAGAUGUAGUGUUGCAUCGGCAAAUGGGAUACAAGUGCAGGUUGUGGCGAUUUCAAAUCUACACGAUGAAACUGGCAUUCUUGCUCUCUUGCAUUACUUUAACUAAAGUGACGCGUUUAUUUCCUUAUAUUUCUACAGUUCGUGCACUUUGAUUUUGAUAUUGUAAAUUAAGCUAGCACCGCUUCUGUUAUUAUUGGCUCUAACCUGAGGGCAUGCAUCUAUUUUGAAAAUUAGAUGUUCUUACCAAUUUUCUGAGCUAACCAUCAACAAGAAGAGCUAAAGUAUAGGACGUUAUAUGAAAGGUUUUCUUAGAAAUGUACAUACAGUGUACUUAGGUGUGUUUUUCGAUACUAAUCGUUUUGCAUGAUUUUAAAGAUAAUUGGAGUUUUAUUUAAA